UGGAAAACAAAGAUGAGACAGACCUUCUAACAAGUCGACCUGUCUGGGAGAAGACAUCUCACAGGAUGAAGCUCUUCCUUCAAGGCCUGUGGAAGACUGGAGCAUGAUUCCCUUCACAAGGGAUCUCCAGCAAAGGACGAGAAGGAAAAACCUCUGCUGCUUGGUCGUGGCUUUGGACUUGGAAUCUAAAGGAAGGUUGUUGCUCCCCUGCUUUGUGAACCGGUGGAGUCCAGGCAUGGCAUUGGAGCGGGAACAUUUCCUGGAACAUGACGAACUGGAGCAAAAUUCCCUAAAGAGGUGAGGGAGAUGGUGUUUGGGAGACAAGCCAGUGACUGGAAGAGAAGUUCAGACAUGAGGGAAGACUAGGGGGCUGGCCCACUGAACUCCGGGAGGUGAUCUGAGUGAAGGAUCUAGGAUUUCUUAACCUGGAGCCUGGAAGUCGGAGGGAUAAUUUAAUGCCUUCAAAUUCAAGAUUUGGGGGCCAACUGUUUGCCAUCUCAAUUGAAGACAAAGCGGAGAAAAUGGCAGCCUUGACCUGGCUCAGAAGGAACUGAGGCUUAUUGUGAGGAAGAAUUGUCUAAGAGAGAAUAUUUUUAAUGUGGUUGGGUACUGAGGAGAUGAAAAUGGAGAACUGAUAAACUGUCAAAGCUCCAGGGCUGGUCUGGUGAGGUGAAGUCCAAUUCGAGACCCCCGGAACCGAGAAACCCACCCAAACGGGUGACUUCUGAGAACAUUGCCUCCCACAAGGGGAAGAUUGGCUGUUUUCAGUGAAAAUGACUGUGGUAUUUAUUAAGUGCUUAUUAUGUGCCAACGACUGUUUAAAUUCUGGGAUAGA